GCGGAGGUUCGGGUCUCUGAGCACAGAGGGGACUGGACGCAGGGCGCCGGCCCAAGGUCAGCGGUGCAGCAUGGUGCGCACUCACCAGGUGUUUGUGAUGAUUGGACAUUCUGUUGUGCCCCCGAUGUCGGAGCUGGGUUUUGAUGCGUGUGGAUUUCUUGCUUUGUUAAGAGGAAGUACUACAGAGCCUGGGCUCCCAAAGCCAUGAGUAAGCAGCCUCCCACUACGGUGGACAGGAGCUGGUCCCACUGCCAUGCCUUCUCGUCCAUGACCCACCAGGUGAAUGAUACCCAGUCAGGCUGAGCAUUGAUGUGGCAGACAGUUCCUACAGCAGCCCAGUGCGAAGGCCUUUGACCUCCUGGCCCAGUUCAGUGUUGAGAACCACUGUCCUAGAGCCUUUUGCAUGUAGGCUGUAGCCUGCUCCACGCAGCUGGUACAGACACACCCCAGUGCACCUGGACCUACAACCUGUGGUUACCAGGCUCUCCCAGCAGGAUCGUGACCCUAACACAAGGGAUAGCAUUGUCCAAGUAGUCACCUCACAGAAACAGUAAUGUCCUCCUUUCUGACCAGUUGUCAGGAGCUGAAAUUGCACCACCCAAUUUUCCAGUGAGUCAUUUCGUCUUACUUAGGGUUGCUAUUGCUAUGAUGAAACA
rnacentral:sRNA from 1 species